rnacentral:lncRNA from 1 species
CAUCUACGGCACCCGGCUGGUGGUGCUGCCCUUCCGCAGGGAGAGCCUGGCCGAGGAGCAUGAGGGGCUCGUGGGUGAGGGGUGAGCACUGGGGUCACGGCUGGGUCUGAGAGGCGUGGAGCUUGGUUCCCCUCUGUGUGGCCCACCCUGACGUCCCUGUGCCCCCAGGCAGAGGUCCAGCUUCCUGCCUAGCUAUAUCAUCGAUGUGCGGGCCCUGGACGAGAAGCUGCUCAACAUCAUUGACCUGCAGUUCCUGCAUGGCUAUUACGAGCCCACCCUGCUCAUCCUGUUCGAGCCCAACCAGACUUGGCCCGGGUGAGGCCCAGGGAUGCCCUCUUUGCUGUGGUCCCAGCUGCCUGGGCAGAGGGGACAGGGACGUGUAGCUCCCGCAGAGGGUGGAAGUGGGACCCCAGCCUUGGGGGGUGCUGCGAGUCCAGCUGACCCACCUACUACUCCAGGCGGGUGGCAGUGCGACAGGACACCUGUUCCAUUGUGGCCAUCUCACUGAACAUCACGCAGAAGGUCCACCCUGUCAUCUGGUCCCUCACCAGCCUGCCUUUUGACUGCACCCAGGCCCUGGCUGUGCCCAAGCCCAUAGGUGAGGAGGGCCCAGCAGUGCCCAGUGGUCCUGGGGGGGAGCAGUGAGCCUGCCUACCAGCCCGUGUCUGUCCCCAGGUGGGGUCGUGGUCUUCGCUGUCAACUCGCUGCUGUACCUGAACCAAAGUGUCCCCCCAUAUGGCGUGGCUCUCAACAGCCUCACUAUGGGCACCACUGCCUUCCCACUGCGUAAGUGUAGCUGACUAUUAGUGGGUGGGGCUGUGGGUGGGGCAGGGCCUCCAGCCAGCUUGACACCUUCCUCACAGGCACUCAGGAGGGCGUACGGAUCACCCUGGACUGCGCCCAGGCCGCCUUCAUUUCCUAUGACAAGAUGGUCAUUUCCCUCAAGGGUGGCGAGAUGUGAGCCCCUGGCCCUGUCUGCCCUGAGACCCCCACAUCCCCUCCCCUGCUCAUUCAGCACCCCCCACCCCUGCCCUCCAACAUCCUUCAUCCCCAGCCCUACUCAGCAGCCCGCCCCGCCCACAGCUAUGUGCUGACACUCGUCACAGACGGCAUGCGCAGCGUCCGUGCCUUCCACUUUGACAAGGCAGCCGCCAGUGUCCUCACCACCAGUGUGAGUAGGGGCAGGGGUGGAGGUCUUGCACUGGGUCCAGGUCUGGCCUCCUCUCAUCCACACGCCCGCCCUCAGAUGGUCACCAUGGAGCCUGGGUACCUGUUCCUGGGCUCGCGCCUGGGCAAUUCCCUCCUCCUCAAGUACACAGAGAAGCUGCAGGAGCCCCCAGCCAGUGCUGUCCGCGAGGCUGCUGACAAGGUGGGUGCUCAUGGUGGUGCCCAGGUGCUUGGCCACCUCCCCUUGGUGUAAAGCAGCCUGGAAAUGCUGUUCACCUCUGUCUCCCGCCUCACAGGAAGAGCCUCCCUCCAAGAAGAAGCGGGUGGACCCCACAGUGGGCUGGUCAGGUGAGAGCUGGACCGGUUGGGUGGGGUGGGUCUGGGAGCCAGGGCAAGGCUCAAGUGGGCUGUGUGCGCUACAGGGGGCAAGUCCGUGCCACAGGACGAGGUGGACGAGAUUGAAGUGUACGGCAGUGAGGCCCAGUCAGGCACACAGCUGGCCACCUACUCCUUUGAGGUGAGACUGGGGACAGCCGUGGAUGCCCGCCCCCUCCCACCACCUGACUGCCACUGUGUCUUCAGGUGUGUGACAGCAUGCUCAACAUCGGACCCUGCGCCAAUGCUGCUGUGGGCGAGCCCGCCUUCCUCUCCGAAGAGGUGCCUGGGGCCUGGGCUUGGGUUGGGGGCAGGAGCGGGGUUGGGGCAGCAUCUUUACCCCGACCUGUGCAGUUUCAGAACAGCCCUGAGCCAGACCUGGAGAUUGUGGUUUGCUCCGGCUAUGGGAAGAACGGGGCCCUAUCAGUGCUGCAGGUGUGUAGGGCAGGGGGGGUGGGCACCUGCGGGCAGCACCUGAGUAGGCUGACCCCAUCCCACCCUAUCUUCAUUCCAGAAGAGUAUCCGGCCCCAGGUAGUGACAACCUUUGAACUUCCUGGCUGCUAUGACAUGUGGACAGUCAUUGCCCCUGUGCGCAAGGAGGAGGUAGGUGGGACCCUAGGUGAUAGUGACUGUGGUGGCCUGAGGGCACCUGGAUCCAGUGGUCAUAGCCAUCACAGCUCUCUGUCCUCCCUGUCCUUGGCCCGUGCAGGAGGAGGCACCUAAGGCAGAGGGCCCAGAGCAGGAGCCGAGCACCCCUGAAGCAGAAGAUGAUGGCCGGAGACAUGGCUUCCUCAUUCUGAGCCGGGAAGACUCAACAAUGGUGAAGGGCGGGGUCUGGAUGUGGGCGUCUGGGGUUCCCCGGGGAAGGGCACAACUCACUACGUUACCUACAGAUCCUUCAGACUGGCCAGGAGAUCAUGGAACUGGACACCAGUGGCUUUGCCACACAGGGCCCCACGGUUUUUGCUGGAAACAUUGGGGACAAUCGCUACAUUGUCCAAGUGUCACCACUGGGCAUCCGCUUGCUAGAAGGAGGUAGGUGGGCAAGUGUAGGGAAGCGCGUCCUGGGGAGUAUGCUGCAUUGGCCACCCUGUGCUGACCACCCUGUGCCCACAGUGAAUCAGCUGCACUUCAUCCCUGUGGACCUGGGUGCCCCCAUCGUGCAGUGCGCUGUGGCCGACCCCUAUGUGGUCAUCAUGAGCGCCGAGGGCCGUGUUACCAUGUUCCUGCUCAAGAGUGAUUCGUAUGGUGGCCGCCACCACCGCCUUGCACUGCACAAGCCUCCACUGCACCAUGUAGGCCUCACCCUCUGUGUCUGCCAUCCCUGCCUAUGAUCCCCUAUCCCCACUGUCCCCGACCUACACUGGGCUUUGUCUCUCCCUGCAGCAGUCCAAGGUGAUCACACUCUGCCUGUAUCGUGAUGUCAGCGGCAUGUUCACCACCGAGAGCCGCCUGAGUGGGGCCCGUGAUGAGAUGGGGGGCCGCAGUGGUUCAGAGGCCGAAGGACUGGGCUCAGAGACCAGGUGUGCAGGGGGCCAGGGUGCAGGAGACCUGGGUCUCUGUGGCAGAUUGAGACAUGUCUGUGUCUUCAGCCCUACAGUGGAUGACGAGGAGGAGAUGCUCUAUGGGGACUCAGGCUCCCUCUUCAGCCCCAGCAAAGAGGAGGCCCGGAGGAGCAGCCAGCCCCCUGCUGACCGAGACCCUGCACCCUUUCGGGCAGAGCCCACCCACUGGUGCCUGCUGGUGCGAGAGAACGGCACCAUGGAGGUAGGUGCACACAUGUGGCUCAGCAGCCCUGGCAGCAUGGCAGGCCCUAUCGUCACUGACUGCUGUCCCCCACCAGAUCUACCAGCUUCCAGACUGGCGGCUGGUGUUCCUGGUGAAGAACUUCCCUGUGGGGCAGCGGGUCCUGGUGGACAGUUCCUUUGGACAGCCUACCACGCAGGGUGAGGCCCGCAAGGAAGAGGCCACGCGCCAGGGGGAGCUGCCCCUGGUCAAGGAGGUGCUGCUGGUUGCUCUGGGGAGUCGCCAGAGCAGGCCCUACCUGCUGGUGAGCCCUUUGGUGCCUGCCCAGAGGCUGGGACCUGCCCUCACAGCCCAGCCCAUUCCUCCACUCUGUCCUCGGGGCCCAGCCCCACCUCGUGGCCCACCCUGUCUCACUUCCAGGUGCAUGUGGACCAGGAGCUGCUUAUCUAUGAGGCUUUUCCCCAUGACUCUCAGCUUGGCCAGGGCAAUCUCAAAGUUCGCUUCAAGAAGGUGCAGCUGCUAGACCCUUUUGGGGUGGGUUGGGAGGGGUCCAGGCUACAGGGUCUGAAGGGCCUGGCGUUCAUCAACACCUUCACCAGGUCCCCCACAACAUCAAUUUCCGUGAAAAGAAGGCAAAACCCUCCAAGAAGAAGGCAGAAGGUGGCAGUGUGGAGGAGGGUUCUGGGGCCCGGGGACGUGUGGCACGUUUCCGCUACUUCGAGGACAUUUAUGGCUAUUCUGGGGUAGGCAGGCAGCUUUGUUUGGGCUUGGGGGUAGGGGAACAGGACCUUGCCCACAUGUUCUCACAGUGUCUGUCUCCAGGUGUUCAUCUGUGGCCCCUCACCCCACUGGCUCCUAGUGACUGGCCGGGGGGCUCUGCGGCUGCACCCCAUGGGCAUCGAUGGCCCCAUCGACUCCUUCGCCCCAUUCCACAAUGUCAAUUGUCCCCGAGGCUUUCUGUAUUUCAACAGACAGGUAGGAAGGUUAACUCUGGCCGCACCACAAGCACUGGUACUGCCCUGGCAAAGCUAGGCGCUAGGGACAGGAGGGCUCCUCAGCUGCAGCACAUCCCAGAGGACCAGGGAUGACUAUCUAGAGGAGGGUAGGGCCCAGGAGGUGGGAUCUGGGGCUUGAGGCUGGAGCAGUUGGCAGUGGAGGCCUGGCUGAUGGGGCAUACCCUGAAAGCCCUUGCCUCAUCUGUGACACCCACAUGGCAGCAAUGACCACCUGAGUCACUGACAGACUCUGGUGUUGAGUGCUUCCAAGGGGCUAAUGCACUCAGGACUGGACAGAAGCUGAGGCUGGGGCUGGCAGGGUCUCCCUCUGCCUGUGUUCUUCAGUCCCUGGCAUGGCCAGUCUCAGUCAUGUGGCUUUUAGUCUCUAGUGUCCUCUGGGCUUGGACUCCCAUGCCCUGUGCUGUAUUCCCCAGCCAGAAGGAUGGACAGGAGCCUACUGAUAGAAGGCAUGGGGACUGACGACCAAGGCUACAGCUCUUCCAGACCUUCCCCAGACUCGGUGACCCUAGCCAGGCAGUAGCGAGGCCUGCAGCCCUAGGCCUUGCUGACUAUUUCCACCCACCCCAGGGUGAGCUGCGGAUCAGUGUCCUGCCUGCCUACUUGUCCUACGAUGCCCCAUGGCCCGUCAGGAAGAUCCCACUGCGCUGCACGGCUCACUAUGUGGCUUACCAUGUGGAGUCCAAGGUCUGUCCCCUCCCCCAGCACUCCCUCCCCCAGGCACCCCAGGCGUGUGACACCAUUCAACUCCUAGGUGUACGCCGUGGCCACCAGCACCAAUACACCCUGCACCCGCAUCCCGCGCAUGACUGGUGAGGAAAAGGAGUUUGAGGCCAUUGAGAGAGGUAUGUGCCACCAGGGGUGGGGUGGACCAUGCCCAGGGCUGGCUACGACCACUGCCUCCUUGUCCCUGCAGAUGACAGGUACAUCCACCCCCAACAGGAGGCCUUCUCCAUCCAGCUCAUCUCCCCAGUCAGCUGGGAGGCCAUUCCCAAUGCCAGGUGAUGUUGGGCCCAGUGGGGGCUUCCGGGUGCCAGCAGGGCAGGACUAGGGUGUCCUGAUACAGCCUGUCCUUGUGCAGAAUUGAGCUGGAGGAAUGGGAACACGUCACAUGCAUGAAGACAGUGUCGCUGCGCAGUGAGGAGACUGUGUCGGGCCUCAAGGGCUAUGUGGCUGCUGGGACCUGCCUCAUGCAGGGAGAGGAGGUCACGUGCCGCGGGCGGGUAAGCAGCUGCCAGGUGGGGACAGGCGGCCCUUGGCAGCCUGUCUGCCAUCCCCACAUGUUCCCUUGCCCUGCCAGAUCCUCAUCAUGGACGUGAUUGAGGUGGUGCCCGAACCUGGCCAGCCCCUAACCAAGAACAAGUUCAAGGUCCUAUACGAAAAGGAACAGAAGGGGCCUGUGACCGCCCUGUGCCACUGCAAUGGUCACCUGGUGUCAGCCAUUGGCCAGAAGGUACACAGCUACUCCUCCCUGCUGUGUUUCUGCCUGCUCACCCUGCCCACUCCACUGACCCUUCUGCCCCCUAGAUCUUCCUGUGGAGCCUGCGGGCCAGUGAGCUGACGGGCAUGGCCUUCAUCGACACCCAGCUGUACAUCCACCAGAUGAUCAGCGUCAAGAACUUCAUCUUAGCUGCAGAUGUCAUGAAGAGCAUCUCACUGCUGCGCUACCAAGAAGAGAGCAAGACGCUGAGCCUGGUGUCCCGGGUACUUCAUGUGGUCUUGGGGUACAGGUGAGAGUCAUACUCGGGCUCCUCCUGACACCUUCUGCUCCCUGACAACAGGAUGCCAAGCCUCUGGAGGUGU